GACGAACGCUGGCGGCGUGCCCUAAAUACAUGCAAGUCGAGCGGAGUUUUUAAAAGCUUGCUUUUAAAAACUCAGCGGCGGACGGGUGAGUAACACGUGGGCAACCUGCCCUGUAGACUGGGAUAACUUCGGGAAACCGAAGCUAAUACCGGAUAAUCAUAGAAGUUGCAUAGCUUCUAUGUAAAAGUUGGGUUUACCUAACACUACAGGAUGGGCCCGCGUCGCAUUAGCUAGUUGGUAAGGUAACGGCUUACCAAGGCGACGAUGCGUAGCCGACCUGAGAGGGUGAUCGGCCACACUGGGACUGAGACACGGCCCAGACUCCUACGGGAGGCAGCAGUAGGGAAUCUUCCGCAAUGGACGAAAGUCUGACGGAGCAACGCCGCGUGAGCGAUGAAGGCCUUCCGGGUCGUAAAGCUCUGUUGUUAGGGA
rnacentral:rRNA from 1 species